AUCCUGCAUUUUUGGCUUCUCUUGGAAGCCUGGGCACAAAGCAUCUGACUGCAGCUGGGAAUUCAUCACCUCUCUCCCUGGAUAUGCAAAUUUUACUGGAACUCCCUCAGCUAACUUCCUGAAUUCCCUGUUAGCAGAUGCUGAUGCAGAUGUAAGAAAUAUUUUAAUUUCUCUCAGCAAUUAAAUGAAACAGAACAUGACCAGAGCUCCAGAAGAAGGAAAAACGUGUUUGCUGGAGGGCAGGAAAACCCUGGAGCUGCUGAUAACUACAACUCAUUCUGAUGAAACCAGGAAAAGUGGAUUGAAAGGAAUGAGGUUAUGGAGCAUGAAAAAAUAUUCCAAAACAGCUAUGGAGGAGGGAAGAGGAGUUUCUG